AGUGAACGCUGGCGGUAGGCCUAACACAUGCAAGUCGAACGGCAGCACAGUAAGAGCUUGCUCUUACGGGUGGCGAGUGGCGGACGGGUGAGGAAUACAUCGGAAUCUACUUUUUCGUGGGGGCUAACGUAGGGAAACUUACGCUAAUACCGCAUACGACCUACGGGUGAAAGCAGGGGAUCUUCGGACCUUGCGCGAUUGUAUGAGCCGAUGUCGAAUUAGCUAGUUGGCGGGGUAAAGGCCCACCAAGGCGACGAUCCGUAGCUGGUCUGAGAGGAUGAUCAGCCACACUGGAACUGAGACACGGUCCAGACUCCUACGGGAGGCAGCAGUGGGGAAUAUUGGACAAUGGGCGCAAGCCUGAUCCAGCCAUGCCGCGUGGGUGAAGAAGGCCUUCGGAUUGUAAAGCCCUUUUGUUGGGAAAGAAAAGCAGCAAGUUAAUACCCCGCUGUUCUGACGGUACCCAAAGAAUAAGCACCGGCUAACUUCGUG
rnacentral:rRNA from 1 species